rnacentral:rRNA from 1 species
UGAGAGACUGAUCGGCCACAUUGGGACUGAGACACGGCCCAAACUCCUACGGGAGGCAGCAGUAGGGAAUCUUCCACAAUGGACGCAAGUCUGAUGGAGCAACGCCGCGUGAGUGAAGAAGGUUUUCGGAUCGUAAAGCUCUGUUGUUGGUGAAGAAGGAUAGAGGUAGUAACUGGCCUUUAUUUGACGGUAAUCAACCAGAAAGUCACGGCUAACUACGUGCCAGCAGCCGCGGUAAUACGUAGGUGGCAAGCGUUGUCCGGAUUUAUUGGGCGUAAAGCGAGCGCAGGCGGAAGAAUAAGUCUGAUGUGAAAGCCCUCGGCUUAACCGAGGAACUGCAUCGGAAACUGUUUUUCUUGAGUGCAGAAGAGGAGAGUGGAACUCCAUGUGUAGCGGUGGAAUGCGUAGAUAUAUGGAAGAACACCAGUGGCGAAGGCGACUCUCUGGUCUGCAACUGACGCUGAGGCUCGAAAGCAUGGGUAGCGAACAGGAUUAGAUACCCUGGUAGUCCAUGCCGUAAACGAUGAGUGCUAAGUGUUGGGAGGUUUCCGCCUCUCAGUGCUGCAGCUAACGCAUUAAGCACUCCGCCUGGGGAGUACGACCGCAAGGUUGAAACUCAAAGGAAUUGACGGGGGCCCGCACAAGCGGUGGAGCAUGUGGUUUAAUUCGAAGCAACGCGAAGAACCUUACCAGGUCUUGACAUCUAGUGCCAUCCUAAGAGAUUAGGAGUUCCCUUCGGGGACGCUAAGACAGGUGGUGCAUGGCUGUCGUCAGCUCG